rnacentral:rRNA from 1 species
AUCGGCUAGACUUUAUAAACUUGUACUCGAAUUGAGGUUAAACCUGGGCAGAUAAUAAUCGCUUUUAACUUUAGGGUAAAAUUAGAAGUUGUUAAUAGUUGAGCCUUGUGUUUUUAGAUUUGUUGAACGAGCCAGAUUAGUACCUGGUUAGACAAAAGUUAAAAGAGCAGGAGUAAAGUUAUAUUUAAACUGUAAGAAUAUUGGCAGGUCUUUAAAUUAUCUUUGGAGGCUGAGUAGUAAUUGAGAGCCCUCAUUAUCAACCUGUACUAUAGGCUCAUGUAUGAUCGUUUAUUUUAUCCUUAGGGGUUGUAAUAUUAGUUUAAUUACUGUAAAAAUAGAUAUAUACUUGGUUGAUGUAUAGGAUUUAAUUUGGCCUACAAUAAUUUAUGAUAUGGAUCUUAACUGUAGAGGUUAUUUGAAAUUGUAAAAGACAGUAAGCUUCUUUUUAUGGGAGGCCGAAGUUUAUUUAAAGACGGUACAAAGCAUC